rnacentral:rRNA from 1 species
CCUACGGGAGGCAGCAGUAGGGAAUAUUGCUCAAUGGGGGAAACCCUGAAGCAGCAACGCCGCGUGGAGGAUGAAGGUUUUCGGAUUGUAAACUCCUUUUGUUAGAGAAGAUAAUGACGGUAUCUAACGAAUAAGCACCGGCUAACUCCGUGCCAGCAGCCGCGGUAAUACGGAGGGUGCAAGCGUUACUCGGAAUCACUGGGCGUAAAGAGCGCGUAGGCGGGAUAGCAAGUCAGAUGUGAAAUCCUAUGGCUUAACCAUAGAACUGCAUUUGAAACUGUUAUGCUAGAGUAUGGGAGAGGUAGGUGGAAUGUUUGGUGUAGGGGUGAAAUGCGUAGAGAUCAAGAAGAAUACUCAUUGCGAAGGCGACCUGCUAGAACAUAACUGACGCUGAUGCGCGAAAGCGUGGGGAGCAAACAGGAUUAGAUACCCGUGUAGUC